UAGAUGCGAGAGUAGAGCAUAUCAAUAAGCGGAGGAAAAGAAACUAACAAGGAUUCCCCUAGUAACGGCGAGUGAAGCGGGAAGAGCUCAAAUUUGAAAUCUUAAAGGGUUUCCCUUUACGAAUUGUAGUUUAAAGAAGUGUUUUCUGUUGGAGUUUCGGUAAAAGUUCUUUGGAAUAGGACAUCAUAGAGGGUGAGAAUCCCGUAUUUGACCAUUAUUUCCUAGCUUUGUGAUACACUUUCAAAGAGUCGGAUUGUUUGGGAAUGCAGUCCAAAAUGGGUGGUAAAUUUCAUCUAAAGCUAAAUAUUGGCGAGAGACCGAUAGCGAACAAGUACCGUGAGGGAAAGAUGAAAAGAACUUUGAAAAGAGAGUUAGACAGUACGUGAAAUUGUCAAAAGGGAAGCGUUUGACACCAGUGUUGUUUUCUCGAAAAUCAAUAAAAAAGGCCGGAUUUUGUGAUGUAUUGACCUUAAAAGCUUUCUUCACUCUUUUCUUGUCUUUUUUAAUGCACUUUUCGUUUAACAAGUCAACAUCAGUUUCUUUUGUUGUAAAAGGGUCAUUGGAAGGUGGCUUUCUUUUCGGAGAAAGUGUUUAUAGCCUUUGAUCUCUGCAACCGGAGAGACUGAGGUCUGCAGCGUAGACUCUUCGGGGUUAGAUACAUUUGUGCUAAGCUAUAGCUUUUUAUAGACAACUUGUUGACUAUAUUUAGUCUUGUGGCUUACUUGCUUAUGCUAUUUUACCUACGCUUAGGAUGUUGACACACGCGCGUGCUC
rnacentral:rRNA from 1 species